rnacentral:tRNA from 1 species
AUCUUGUUAGUAUAAAUUUACAUUUGACUUCCAAUCAAAAAACCUUAGUUUAAACCUAAGACAAGAUA